GUCCACGCCCUAAACGAUGCGAACUGGAUGUUGGGGGCAACUUGGCCCUCAGUAUCGAAGCUAACGCGUUAAGUUCGCCGCCUGGGAAGUACGGUCGCAAGACUGAAACUCAAAGGAAUUGACGGGGGCCCGCACAAGCGGUGGAGUAUGUGGUUUAAUUCGAUGCAACGCGAAGAACCUUACCUGGCCUUGACAUGCACGGAACUUUCCAGAGAUGGAUUGGUGCCUUCGGGAACCGUGACACAGGUGCUGCAUGGCUGUCGU
rnacentral:rRNA from 1 species